AGAAUGUGGACCUAAAAAUAGAAGUUUAAUUCUUCUUAGUGACCGA
rnacentral:tRNA from 1 species